rnacentral:lncRNA from 1 species
GGCAAUGGCGGGCGCCCCUCCCCCAGCCUCGCUGCCGCCUUGCAGUUUGAUCUCAGACUGCUGUGCUAGCAAUCAGCGAGACUCCCUGGGGUAGGACCCUCCGAGCCAGGUGCGGGAGAUAGUCUCCUGGUGCGAGGAUUUUUAAGCCGGUCGGAAAAGCGCAGUAUUCGGGUGGGAGUGACCCGAUUUUCCAGACAGGUGAAGACAGAACAAGAAAACAAACCAAGAAUUUCCCCUCACCAGCCACCAGCUCUGCCAGCAACUUGAUCUUAGACUUCCCAGCCUCCGUAACGCCUCUGCUUAUAAUCUGUCAUGGAUUGGAAAACUAGAAAAAACAGUUUACAGAGUAUAACAAACUUUGGAGGAGUUAAUCGACUCUAAGUAAAAGAGUAUCUAGCACGGCUGUGGAACAAAGGAGAGACUCACAAACUGUUGAAAGAAUAAAUGAAUGAAUGAAUUCUGUUCAUGAGCUUUAAUAAAACAGCUCUGAGUAGUAACAGUGGAUCAAAUUUAGGCUUCUUGAUGCAGGCAUGGUGUAGAUUACUACUUCUGUAUUGUCCCAGGAGCUCAGCACAUUCCUGCAGAGAUGAUAGGAGCUCAUCUGAUACUUGUCAGCUUUGAAUAAACUCCAGUCCCCAAGAGAGAGAAUGAGAAUCACCGGAAUACGAAACUUCCCUGUUGGACUUCCCAACAUUCUUGAAUGCACCAAGAUAGCCUCUUGCUGUGAGAUUAAUAAAUGAAUAAAUGCCUCCAUAUUUUUCAAAUCUGUGAAGUUAACAACAUGUAGAUUUUUUUGCAUAUUUAAAAACUGCAACUAAAUCUUAAUGCCUCUGAAGCAGAUGGAAGAAAAUAAUAGGCUUCCAUUAACUGUGUCAAAUUGUAUAGGUCUUGGCCAUCACUGGUCCUGUUGUGAUGAAGGUUUUUUGCCCUUGGAUAUAAUUUAAUUUUCAAUUCUUCUAAUUAUGGUACUUCAGAACAUCAAUAUUUGAGAUGAACUUCUCUAGUGUCAAGGACUGAUUUGAGUUGUGUAAACCCUGAAUAUCUGAGACAGGUCUCGAUUAUUUUAGAAAGUUUAUUUUGCCA